rnacentral:rRNA from 1 species
GCUUGCUUCUCUGGAUGAGCUGCGAACGGGUGAGUAACGCGUAGGUAACCUGCCUGGUAGCGGGGGAUAACUAUUGGAAACGAUAGCUAAUACCGCAUAAUAGCAGUUGUUGCAUGACAACUGUUUGAAAGGUGCAAUUGCACCACUACCAGAUGGACCUGCGUUGUAUUAGCUAGUUGGUGGGGUAACGGCUCACCAAGGCGACGAUACAUAGCCGACCUGAGAGGGUGAUCGGCCACACUGGGACUGAGACACGGCCCAGACUCCUACGGGAGGCAGCAGUAGGGAAUCUUCGGCAAUGGACGGAAGUCUGACCGAGCAACGCCGCGUGAGUGAAGAAGGUUUUCGGAUCGUAAAGCUCUGUUGUAAGAGAAGAACGAGUGUGAGAGUGGAAAGUUCACACUGUGACGGUAUCUUACCAGAAAGGGACGGCUAACUACGUGCCAGCAGCCGCGGUAAUACGUAGGCCCCGAGCGUUGUCCGGAUUUAUUGGGCGUAAAGCGAGCGCAGGCGGUUAGAUAAGUCUGAAGUUAAAGGCUGUGGCUUAACCAUAGUACGCUUUGGAAACUGUUUAACUUGAGUGCAAGAGGGGAGAGUGGAAUUCCAUGUGUAGCGGUGAAAUGCGUAGAUAUAUGGAGGAACACCGGUGGCGAAAGCGGCUCU